GAAAUGCGAUAAGUAAUGCGAAUUGCAGAAUUCAGUGAAUCAUCGAAUCUUUGAACGCACAUUGCGCUCUCUGGUAUUCCGGAGAGCACGCCUGUUCGAGCGCCAUUUCACCCCCCAAGCUCUGCUUGAUGUUGGACGGAGCGGAAAGCCUGCCCGUCCGAAACUUGUGAGGCGUCCGACCGUCGAGCACCAGCGUGGCAAGCAAAAACUUCGCUGGGAGUGCUUCGACGGCCGACUGCCGCGAAACUACCUACAUCAUUUCAGGUUGGCCUCGGAUCAGGUGGGGAUACCCGCUGAACUUAA
rnacentral:misc_RNA from 1 species